rnacentral:lncRNA from 1 species
CCGAAGGACAUUAGCUGCCAUUAAGUUUAGUACAACAGUGCCGGGUGCCAAAGGACAUUAGCUGACAUUAAGUUUAGUACAACAGCAGGAGCAUGAGAGCAAAAGCCUAAGACACAAUUCUCAAGGAAGGAUAUGAUUCAGUAAAAUGUAAGAAUGUCCAAUAUAGUGGUUCAUAUGCAUAGAGUGGGUCAUACGAUCAUGAUGCAUGAUAUAGCAAAAGAUAUCUUGCGUCAACACAUCUUGCCCGCUUGUUCACAGUUUUGCCUCAGCCAUGGCCUUCUUGAUGUCGUCUUCUCCUGAUAGCAGCAAGGCAUUAGCAAUUAGAAGCCAGGGAGUGAGCAUGACUGGAAAAGCAAUACAUGCGAUUCCAAUUCCUUUUCAGGUAGGAUAUGGUGCAAUAUUUACAUAGACCAUAUCCAGAUCAUAGUAGUGCAUAGUUCCUUAUAAGUUGUACAAAACAAACAGCAGCACACUACAGAAGAUAGGAAUGCGCAAUGAGACCUUUAGCUAGGUCUGAUAGCUUGGUUUUUAAGUUACUUUGAGGCAAAAGACAUCUGGUUCUUCACCUCAAAAUGAUUUGCAUGUAGGAAUAUCAGAAUAUGAUUCUGAAACCAUGGCACUUGGCUGGUUAGUAUGGUUUGUCAUCACAUUCAGUUGCUUUCAGAAUGGAAAAGGACAAGUAAUAAUUGGAAAGAACCAUAUAUUCUGCCUAUGCCAUAUCAGUGUUUAAUUGGUCGGGCCAUAUAUAAACCUUUUACCACGGGGUGUUCCUUUAUUCUGCUUCAAGAAUAGACAGGAAUGACAUAAAUACGUGCAUAGCACUGUUAACUAAGAAAGGGAAGAUUAAAUUUGGGAGUACACAGGCAAGCCAAGUCAGGUACGAAAUAUAGCAGAUAGCAAAGCAAUGUGAGAAUAGCCGUCAGAGUAUAGUGGCGUACCUUCCAUUCUCAAAGAGUUGAUUGGUUUAUGACGAUGGUUCCAGGAGAAAGCUGCAAUAGAAAAAAAAUAAGAUAUUCUUACAAAGAAGGUCCAAUGGUUUAAGCAGGAUAUGGUAAUAAAUAUACAUGAUAUGUGAACUUUAAAACUAUUGCAGAGAGGUAAAUGCAGAUUUCUAAGGAACAUAUUGUACUAAUUGUUCAGGCAAAGCAAAAAAAUAAAUUAAAUUGGGUCCAUGAUGUAUAGGUGGGUCAAUGCUUCAAGGAUUAUGGCUUGUGGUAGGGCUACCUUCAUAAAAAUGAGACAGAAUGAACAUCGUCAGUGGCGGCCAUACGUGGAGUUGAGACAGAAAUAAAUCAUUGAGAAUAAUUUAUAGUUUCUUUAAAUGGAACUUGUCCAAAUCGCAAUUGUGAUGCAACUACAAUGAGAAGUGGUCGCCGACCAUAUGACAAUGCUAAGAUUCUGUAAAGCAUGCAAUACCAAGCCCAUAAUUCUAUAGAAGUUCAUUUGCAGAAGAUAAAUAUACUUGCAUAGCUACUGCUGGAGAGCAUCAACGGUGGCAUCUUAUUUGCCAACUAUAUUAUUCCUAUUUAUACACAACAUAUUUUGACUACUGCACAAGUUUUCAUACAAGAGUUCUGGAUUAAAUAAAAUAUGGAUCUUACCCAUUAUAUCCUAUAAUAUUUCCAUACAGAGCGAAGGCAGCAAACAUGAAUCCAACAUACCAACUGCAACUCCACAAGGCCUAUCACUGACAAACAAAAUAGCACCUGCAUCAAGAAGACGAC